rnacentral:rRNA from 1 species
AACGAACGUUGAUGGCGUGCCUCAUACAUGCAAGUCGAGCGCGUAGCAAUACGAGCGGCGAACGGGUGAGUAACACGUGAACAAUCUACCUGAUAGUGGGGGAUAACCAUUCCAACGGAUGGCUAAUACCGCAUANCGAUACGAGAGGGCAUCCUCUUGCAUCAAAAGAUUUAUCGCUAUCAGAUGAGUUCGCGUCCCAUUAGCUUGUUGGCGGUGUAACGGACCACCAAGGCGACGAUGGGUAUCCGGCCUGAGAGGGUGUACGGACACAUUGGGACUGAGAUACGGCCCAGACUCCUACGGGAGGCAGCAGUAGGGAAUUUUGCGCAAUGGGCGAAAGCCUGACGCAGCAACGCCAUGUGUGGGAUGAAGCAUUUCGGUGUGUAAACCACUGUCAGCAGGGAAUAACAACCGACUUUGGCGGCC